rnacentral:lncRNA from 1 species
CAGGCAAAUUUAUCUCUGUAGGAGUCUACAUGAUCGCCUUUGCUCUUCUUGUAGCCCCUCUUGCGAUGGUCGCAGCCUCUUUAUACAUUGAUGGAUGUACCACUCAAAACCCUGCCGAAAACCUCAAGUCAUGGAAGUGGCUAGACGCAGCUAAACAGGUCUUUGCUUUGCACCUGUUAGGUUUCAUCGUCACACUGCUUCCAUAUUUCAUCUGUCAAGUACCGGGAGAACAAUCUCCAACAAACCGCUCCAUCAUCUGGGCCACUACGUCAUCUUCGCUUCUCCUUAUAACCUUUGUCACAAUUCCGGGUUGCUCUCCAUUCUCCUCUCGCCUCCAUGGAACCAACUGGGCUGUCUUGAAAUCGGUGACCAUCUCAGCUGCCUUCAUCGGUCUGUGCCUCAUGUCCAUAAUCAACUUUGCCACCGCAGAGAUUGGAGCGUUGCUACUAGUGCCAAUGUGUCUAAUGGUUCGUCCAAUAAAACCCGAUCUGAGAUCCAGACGUGUUAAGAGCCUGCUGCGUGCGUUGUGCAGCAUUGUAUUGGUGACCAUUGGGUUCCCAGUCAUAUUUUUCGCAAUCUCCAAGGGAUUGAUAGGAGAAGGGCUCGUGGGGUUGAGUCUUGGAGGAGAGUUUUGGACAUGGUUAGAGUCGCUAUGGGCAUGGAAGAGUGCUACAUAUCUAUACAUAGGUAUGGUUUAUCUUCCUUGCUGGCUCCUUUGCCUCUGUAUUUUGUUUCAUCCAUCUUAAUUAUUUCCUUGCUUAGUCGAAAGCUAUACACACUUUGUUUGAAUUUGUUAUCCAACAACCUUGUGCUUGUAAUUUUUUUGGUGUCUUGAAAAUUUGAGAAACUAAAGCAGAUACUAAGCUCUGAAGUGUAAAAUGCGUAGUUGCUUACAGAGAAAAAAGGUAUCUUAACAAACACAAACAAAGAGAGCAAAACUGAGUAUAUCUACCAAGUUAAACUAGAUGGUUUUACUACAAAGAUUCUGGUUGCAACGACUCUGAAGUAGAGCGUGUUCUUUGUCCGAAUCCCAACAUCGAGUUACCCAAAUCAAAGUCCAAUACAAAGCCUUCUAACUGAAGCCCACCCAUUAUAAUCGGGCUGACCGGGUUCGACCCGCCGUCUACAAUACCCAAGCAUCGGACACCACCACCAACAUCCACCAUCAGAUUCCUCCCAUGAAUCCUCCACCUCACCAUCUCGCUCUGCAGUGACAGAUCAACCGCCGGGAAAUCUACCUCACUCGAAGACGUGAAGCAGAGACUGAACGGUGCUACGGGAGAUACCGACUUAGCGUUAGUCGCAGCUUUAGUGUAAGCUUCUGCAAACACCGCGAAGAUUGAGCUCUCCAGCAUCGUGUAAGGAACCACCGUGCUUAGUUCCACAGACAACGGACCAUCCACGGAGAGCCUUUUAUCGUUGACUCUGAUUGAUUUAACGUUAAUCACGUAACUGCCACUCGAGACGGAUGACAGAGGAGUGUAGACCAGGGAUUUAGACGCGGCAACUCCGAAAACAUCUUCAACCGAACUCGUUGAGGCGACGCCGUUCGACUGCGACAGGUAAAGCGUUAAACGACGGCGUUCGUUAGUUUGCGCGGCGAGUUGCGAGGGAAGAGAGAUCUGGGCCUUUCCUAGGCCCAUUACUCCUUGGGCUCCACUAGCAAGCCCACGUAGCAGCGACGGAGGAGCACAAGCGAAGAGGAUAUCAGCGGUUCCCGGAGAAGAAACAGAUCCAAAUGACAAGACGUCUCUUGCAAUCUCUCCUCUCGCUGCGAUACCAACGUCGCCAUUUCUCACAAGCAAAUCGCACACCGCGUUACGCGAUACUCGCUCGUCCCCAACCUUCGCCUUAAGGCAGCCGCUAGAGCUCCCGGAGACCAGACUCCGAGAAGAGGAAACAUGUCCGGAGGAACAAUCGAACCAUAGAAGCGAACCGGAGAGAUCAACGACGAGCUUGACAGGCUCCGGCGAAUCGCCCAUAAGAAUCUGUGCGAUGUAUUGACCGGUAUGUACGUCGCGAGCAACAGGGAAAACGACGCCGUUAACUGAAUCAGACAUCUGCGAAUUUGAAAUGAAUACAACGGAAAGGAAGGAGAAGAGGACGAGAUUCAGACAAGAAGCCAUUACAAGUGUGAUUGAGUGUGGGGGACGCAAUGGAUGAAGACGGUUUUAAAGGAUUAGUUAGGUUCUGGUUUGAAUCUGAGAUGCGGUGGGCCGACGCUGGUUUAUAAGAUUGGGAUAGCGAAUGUGAACCGAUAAGGAUUGGUUAGAUUUGAGGCAAGUGCUGAGUAGACUGCGUGUCGUUUUGCGGAUUUGUGGGGACCUUUUUUUUUCUUUUUUUGUCAAUGUUUAUCCAUUUAUUUAAAAAGAAAAAGGAGACGAUUAGAGGAGUUUUGGCACGUGCAAAGAUAAGGUUUCUUAAUAUUUUCGUUUUUCGGCGAAUAUUCGUAGUCGUGUAAAGGUUUAUGCCUACUUCGCCAACUCGAGUUAAAGUUGGUUUGAUAGAGUUACAAAGUCCAUGCGGCAGUUUUUGAUUGGUAUCCAGAAUAACAGAGUUGUGGGAAGUGGGAACUAUGAAGAGUGAGAUUAGGCUCAUACACAAAAUGGGUCUAAUUAACUCGGGAAAUUUUUAGCGGAAGAUAAGAAACUGUUUCUUAACUUUUAACUAAAAAGUUAAGAACCAGUUCUUAAAUAAGGACUUUAAUAACCGGUUCUUAACUUUUUUAUUUAAAAGUUAAGAAACAGUUUUUUUAACUUCCGGUAAAAACUCCACUAUAAGAACCCGGUUUAAUCAUGGUCUUAUGGCGAUAUAGCCCAAUAUUGUCCAUGCCUUCUUACAGCAAAACAAUAUGGUCUCUAGAUUUAUUUGAUAAUCCACAGAUGAAGUAAGUUGACGCUACAUUCAAUUCUCAUAAGAAACACGAUAGGGAGACCAUGGCAAUGCCUUCAAAUUGCCAUAAACAUUAAUUCAUUGCUCAUCUAGAUAACUCAUGAGACCUAACUCUUCUAGAUAAUUGGAAGUUUGGUAUCCCAGCCGCAGACUAUCUUGAAGGCAGUGCUACGCUAGCAAGUUCACUCUAUUCCCAGGUAAAGUUUAUAAUGUUAUCUGUCCUUAAGUAAAUUCCUGUGGUUGCACUCACACGAAUAGAUUGUAAUGUUUCAUUAUUUUCUUUAUUCAUUCUCAUCAGGCCCUUGGUAUCCCAACUGGUCCUCAUGGAGCUUUCCGUGAUUAUCAAGUUGAUGCAAUUACUUUGAAAGUUUCGCCUAGAUAUCCUCCUGACAAUAAGGGAAGGCAACACGAGUUCUUUCUGCGAGGUGCCCAGUAAGUUUUCGCAUUUAUGUUUGCUAUCUUUUUAUUAUGUAUACCUACCUCUGCUAGUUUAUGCGAGUCUUGUAAUGCAAAAGAACUAACUUUGUAUCAGUGUUAGAUGAUAACUCUGUGCUUGCUCUUUAAACGCAGGUUACUUGAAGGAACUAUAAGAUCAGUGAACAAUCUCCUUGAGAAGUUCCAUCAAUCGUUUUUCCUUUACCUGUUAACUUCCCCAGGCAAAUUUAUCUCUGUAGGAGUCUACAUGAUCGCCUUUGCUCUUCUUGUAGCCCCUCUUGCGAUGGUCGCAGCCUCUUUAUACAUUGAUGGAUGUACCACUCAAAACCCUGCCGAAAACCUCAAGUCAUGGAAGUGGCUAGACGCAGCUAAACAGGUCUUUGCUUUGCACCUGUUAGGUUUCAUCGUCACACUGCUUCCAUAUUUCAUCUGUCAAGUACCGGGAGAACAAUCUCCAACAAACCGCUCCAUCAUCUGGGCCACUACGUCAUCUUCGCUUCUCCUUAUAACCUUUGUCACAAUUCCGGGUUGCUCUCCAUUCUCCUCUCGCCUCCAUGGAACCAACUGGGCUGUCUUGAAAUCGGUGACCAUCUCAGCUGCCUUCAUCGGUCUGUGCCUCAUGUCCAUAAUCAACUUUGCCACCGC